CUUUGUCACUAAGGAUUGAAUUUUUGGGUUUCCCACUUCUUUUCCAUUCCUAUAUAAUCCACCCAUGUAAGGACAAAGCAAAGCUUUUUUUAAGCUCAAAGUUUUAGUUCUCACCUUGAAUGUUGUUCCUUCAACAUGCUUACUUGUUGCACUAUACAGCCAAUCUCUAUAGGCUACAAUUGAAUUGAUGGGCUUACUUUGCUUCCUCCAACUUCUUGUAGGUGGUUUGAUUUCUUGUUCUCUGUUGUGUGUUGUGGAAUACUCCUAAAAUAUAGCAUCAUAUCAUGCUUGUAUUUUGUUUAUGCCAUAAUUUAUGUGAAACAUCACAAAAUUAAAUCAAGUGGUUGGGCUCAAGUGGAUUAUGAGCUUCAGUAAAGGUUGAAUUGAUUCGAAGUACUCGAGUUCGAACCUUGACUGGAAUAAUCUUUGGCCAGACGUUACUUACUGUUUGGCCGAACUCCGAAUUAUCAAACCCUUAAACCUAGGAAUCAGAAGGUUAAGAAGGGAAAAAGAAAAAAACAAACAAACCUGUAUGCUUGAAUCUGUGCAGCCAAUAUAUAACUUUCCCUGAGCCACUGUCAUGCAUUUUCCAUGCUUACCCUUGAAAAUAUCACUUAUCUCUCUUGAAUUGUUAACAAGCUGCAAAUAGUAAAUAAGAAAAAUUAAUCAGUAGUCAUAAUUGUUUUAUUAUCCAAGCCAUGAAGGUAAUAAAACUAUUGUUAAAUUAUGUAUAGAUGGAUUGUAGAGAGGUUUCUGUGUGUGAUUUUGCUUUGAAAAUUUGUAGUUACUACAUGUCAUAAAUCAUUGCAAGUUUUGAAGCAUCACCUUUAUUCCUUGUUUCUCAGUAAUUGCAAAAAUUGUCUCACCAUGUGCGCGUAAAUGAUGAAUUGGUUCCUUCAUGACUAUUACUUCAAGACAUUCAAGCUUUCUUUGAAUCAUUUUCCACACCUAUUUUGUGCAUGUCAUUGUAAGAUAAUUAUUUCAUUCAGUUUUUCUUUUAGAAAUUUUGGUAGAGAAUAGAAAGUGAUAACCAUAGAAGAAAGUUUUAACCUUACCCUUAUGGUUUUAUCAGUUGAUCCACUUAAAAGGCUGUCUAAUGGUCCAUAAAUUGAAAAGCAUGUCACAGACUUCUUGUGCUCUUUAAUGUCCCAUACAAGACUAGCUGAGUGUCCCCUAAUAUCCCAAACCUUUUCAGAAACACCAACAUAUAGUGGUUUUAGUAUUUCAAUAUAGAACAUUAGAUGUAGUGCAAUCACAUUCACCUCCCUCAUCCAAUUAAGAUCAGACGAUUUAGAUUUUGAGGAAGAUUUUGAUUUUUUUAAACAAAAAUUCCGACCUUGAAGUCUGGACCCUCUGAUCUUGAUGAGACGGUCGAGAUGGUGUGACUGCACACAAUCUGAACCCAAAAGUUACACCUAAAAAACUGUCAUAAGUGAACUGCAUGUUUGGAUUGAUUGUGAGUUUGGUAAAAUCAUACAUGGUGCACCACCCUGAUUUUGACAAAAACAACACUUCCGAGCUUCAAAAAAUCACGGUGUCACUGUACUUUCGAGCUUCAACAUUUUCUUCUUUCGGUGACUUAGAGCAAAUAGAAGCAUGAUUUAGCAUAUGUUGACUCAAAUCAUAUAUGUUAUUACCUUAAUUGAUCCAUCUGAAUAUCCACUGAAUAAGAGUCCCUUGUAGUAUAUAAGGGAGCAAACUGAUAUGCUUAAGUUGUUGUGACCUGCCUCAAGGAUUUGAGUGUGAACACAAGAAAUACGCUGCUCUUACACCACCAUCAUGAUUAGGGUGAUGCAACAAAAUAAAUCAGUUAAUGCAAAUUAUUUAUACUUAAACUUUCAUAAUGUUCAUGCAAAGAGUUGAAGAUAUUUAACUUGCAUAUGAUUUUUCAAUUGUGGAAUUUGGUACAUAAAUGAGUGUACUUACUGAUGUGUUUCGAAGCAAGAAAUCAGCUACCCUAUGUAAUUCCUCAGCCAUCCAAGUUAUGUUUGAAAGGCGUCUUAAUGAUUCUUUUACUCCUUCUGAGAAUUGCAUUAGUUUUUGCUUUCCUACAAUGAAAAUGGUUGUCUUACUUGGUAGAUGCAAUUUAUAAUUCUUGAUCAUGAUUCAUUAAGUGUUCAUUUUUUUUAAAAAAAUCGUUUAUUAGUGAACAAGUUAUUUUCCUUUCUUUCGAGUCAGAGUCGUGUCUAGUGUUUGUCUCGGGGAUUCGUGUGGUAAUUUAGUUUAAUGCACUUUGGAUGAAUUGCCAUUGACAUCAAAUUUGUUAAUUAACAUAAACUGUGAUGAGGACAAUACCUUUUCCUGAGGCAUAAUUAAACAUGCACAUACAUGCCAAAAGUCUUUCUUCCAAUUCCAUUCCAGGAUAUAGAAAUUGCUCAAUUCCUCUUAGUAUAAUCUCAGAUGCAGAAUUACUGAGGCUGUUUGGACUUUUUGAUAUUUGACAUCCAAGCCAUGAAAUGGCUACAAGACAGUCUCUAGAAACCUUUUUCAUCUUGCUUCUUAGUCCCCUCUCUAAAGUAUAGAAGAUGGAAUCUCCAACACUUAUGAUACAUUUGGCAAUUUUGCUGCACCAUACAUCUAUGCUGGUAUCCUGCAUAUUAUGAAAUUUAUUUAUCACCUUAAUUGCGGCUGCCCAUCACUGCUCAAGUGCUCAUACAUAUACUUAUUGACAUAUAAACCUUUUGAAUUGUGUAAUUUUGACACACAAAUUUGAUAACAAUUUGGAUGGUUAACGCAGUUCAAAUACAUGGUUAAUUAUGUCUCGUGGAUGGUUGAUGAAUAUAACAAGGUAUGCAACUCAUUAAACAUUUACUUAACACAAUUUAUUUGAACACAAGUCAUGGUUAAUGGAUGUUAUGUAUAUUUGAAUACAAUUUGGAUGGUUAAUGAAUAUAGUGUAUACUUGAAGUGGAAUACCUGAAAAUUGUGUUUAAUUACAUUAAGUGGAUAGUUAAUGAGUCGCAACACCUUGUUAUAUUCAUUAAUUAUCCACUGAACGUAAUUAACCAUAUAUUUGAACUGCGUUAACUGUCCAAAUUGUUGUCAAACUUAUGUGUCUAAAUAUCAUUUCUGAAACCUUUUUGGAAGUUUACCUGUAGACUUUGAUCCAACCAGUUGAAGUUUCUUAUCAUAUUUUGGUGAUAAGGAGAGGUCAAGCCUGUCUUUCUCAGAAGCCAUGCAGCUGUAUAUGGCUCUCCUGUCCAAGCAUAUGUUCCAGCAAGAUUUGAU
rnacentral:lncRNA from 1 species